GAUACCAGAAUCUGUGGAUGCUCAAGCCCCUUCUGUAGAAUGGCGCGGUACCUUUAGCCCUCUGCAUCCUUGGGUCCCACCAACCACUGUUGGACUUGGUUGGUUGAAUCCGUGGCUGCAGAGGACCAACUGAACACUUGACAGGUGUUCUAACGGCCCAGAGUGCUGCCUCUUCUCCUUUCCCUUUGGCCAUUGCUGAAGGUUUAAGGAAGGCUUCACAUUUUGAAAACUGCCUAGUAGUAAUCCAAGCCACAAGUUGGAGAUGAAGCUGGAGCCCAGACAGGAGUUAUGGUUUGCCCAGGGCCCCGCAGUAGUGACUCCUGGCUGAGUACCAAGGAGAGGCAGGCUUUCCCGUGGUGAGAGCGGGGCUCGGCCCCCGGCCAAGCGCAGAACGGGACUCCUCUUGCUUUGACGUCCACCAUCUCUGUCUCUUGGCUGGGAAUGUUAUCCUCUCAUGGCUCCACCCGUCCAGCUCUGACUCAUCCUUCAACACUGAGCCCAAGCACCACCCCUCUGUGGAGUCUCUUCUCCUCUGCCCAUGCCAACCACGCGCUCCUCAUUUUCCCACAGCCCUUUGUCCUCUGUGUCAGAGAGGUCCCUAUAUUCCACCACAUAGAUUUGUCUGCGGGGGGUGUGCGUCAGUCACUGCCACUUCUUAUUAACCUGUAACCUGUCUCAUUCAAAGAUUUCACAUAGACGCUUCCCCUGCUGUUUGGGGCACUCAGCAGUACAGGUGUCGCGUCAUCAUUUCUAGAAUGAAAGAACUACGCAGCUGGGUAAAAAAAUCAACUUAUGUUCCAAGCCAAGGCACCCCCAAACUUUAAAGCACAUUGAUCGUCUGAGAAUUGUGCUAAAAUUUGGAGUCUGAUUCAGGAGGUGUAGGUUAGGGCCCAUGAUUCUACAUUUAACAAGCACCCAGUGGAAAUGAAUGCUGCUGGUACUCGGCCCACCCUUUGGAGUCAUAAAGAAGGGAAGCGUAUGGUCUGCCCCGUUAACCGCACUGAAAAGGAACAGGCGAGAGCAAUAGAGCGACGACGGCCACGGAGUUGGAGGCGCAUCCAGGAGUGCACAUGACUGAGAGUCUUGUAUAAAGGCCUCAGCUAGUGAAUUCUGUCCUCCUGGGGGUCAGCCAGGCCUGGACUUGAGCACCGUCGACCUGGGGGAAACUCAAAGCCACGAGCAAGUCCUUGCACCUUUCAGCACGACGGGACCUUCAGAAGGGAAGGGAGACGGGGAAUCCCAGUGAUACUUCUCACCUUUGGGAGAAAAUAGACAUUUUACAAAAGGCGACACAGACUCCAUCUCAAGGACUCUUCAGGGAAAAGUGUGAUACUCUAGAUGCUGUAGAAAAACCCCAUACUAUAGAUGACAGAACUGAGACUGACACGCAUACCAAGGGCUUGCCCAGAAUGAUUCAGGCCACAGGACAUUGAUGAAAGGGAAGCUGCGACUGGACUUUCGUUACCUCUCUGCUUACAGCACUUCCCUGGUCUAACAUCCCUAGUAUGUCACUAUUACAGCUUGUUUGAAUAAUUAUCUUCCAGGCAAAUUGGACCUAGACUUAGCAGCCUUAGCACCUAACAUGGGGUCUUGUACCUAGAAGGCACCUCAAAAGUACUGGUUAAAUAAAAGAAUAUGGAAUUUCACCAGGGGAGGGUCUCUACUUAACACCCUCCAUCCGAUUACAGGUUUGUGUUCAGCUGAUUACGAUAUCGGACCAAUAAGGACAAGGCUGGGGUUGGGUUCCCCCGGAUGUGUGGCACGGCUUUGCCCUGUUCCUCACUCGUGCUUCUCAGUACGCUCAACAACCUUUGUAAAAGUGGGACUUGGCACUGGUUCGCCAACGCGCCCUGCUGAAUCAGAGGCUUUGGCGAUGGGCCUAGGAACCUGCAUUUUGAAUAAAAUACAGUGUGAUUUGUAUCUGCUUUAGGGUUGGAAGAGCUUUGAUUUGGAUAGCUGGUGAGACACAUCUCCCUAGAAGGAGUUAAAAAGCUCUGUCACCGCCCACCCCCACCCCUGUGACUCACUCCAACUCAGACAGGCUUCAGACUUGCCCGUCAGUCACGAUUCUUCUUUGAAACCCCUGAGAACUAGUUCCACUCCCUUCCCUGAAGCCUAGAAUGGGACAGGGGCACUUGGCUUAGGAACAAACAGGAACCACCCCAAAUCCUCUCUCUUCCCCUCUGGCCUCCUCCCCACCCUGGGAAAGGGCUUCGGUCCCUCCCUUCCCUGGGCUGGCCCAGGGGAGAGUCUGUGUGAUCAGGAAACAGAUUAAUCUACCAGGUAGGCAUCAAGAGAUAAAAAUCCAAUCUUUUAUACCUUUUUAAUACCUGCCUCAGGGAGAGGACAGUAAACCGGGAGGACUCCCUGUGCUCAGAGGACCUUGGUCGUUCCUUAUCCGUGUUGAGAUAAAUCAGAUCGAUUAAGUUCCCUUCAAAACACAGCAUUCCUUUUUCUCGCUCUGUGCUUUCCCCAAAGCAACUCUGCCGCCAGGGUCUCUGCAGCUUCCUUCCGGUGCUGCAGGGGUGGGGUGUGGCUGCUCGGUUCUGGGGCAGCCGAUGCCUAUCACUGGAAACAAGACAGCAUUUGAACUCAGAGGGCAGGAUUUAAAUCCAUGCUCUACCCCUUACCUGCUACAAGACCUUGGGCAAGUCACUAAACGUCUGCCUCUCGGUUCUUAGCUCUAAAAGAAAAAGCAGUCCUGUUCCUCCCUACCUAUGUCUUCCCUAAGUUACCUUAAGUUACCUGAGUUAGGGUUCCUUCUCCUACCAAUGGGCGCGAGGAGGAACUUCAGAAAGGAAGCUAGCAAAGGGGACCACCCUCGGAAUACUAAGCAGGAUCUUAAUUUCUCCUUGAAUUGACAAGCUUUAUAUUACAGCCCUGCCGUUGGCAGAUAGGGGGGACCUUGAUGGAGGCUGAGUUAAACAUGGCUGGGAUUUAUAGUGGAAUAAAAGGUCCCAGAUUAAUAGGGUUUCCCUUCUCUGAACCGUAAAUUGGAAGCCCUGGUGCCUGACCAUCUGCUAAAUCUCCAGUCCCCAGGGCUUCUCGGUGGAAAGCUCUGGAAGCACCCACCUGGCUGCAGAAGACCCUUGAGCAAAUGAUCUCACCAGAGGCUUUGCCCUGCAAGCCAUGCUGGGUUGAAGGGCAAAAGGAACCUACCGUAUUUGCAGGGUAACGAUGACAUCACCCAGGCUAAGAGGACCUCAGCCUUUCCUCAAUCAUGUCAGGGCCUGAGCAGAGGGGAGCGGAUGAAGGAAUGGAGAGAACAAAGGCAGGCAGCAUCGUGGUCCAGCCGUUAAUUGUUUGCCCAAGUUCAGCAACAAGUAUUGCCUCUGCCCUCCCGCUCUGGAAGAAUGCUGCGGAGGGGGCAAAUGGCCCAGGGCCAGUGACCGCCAGGGCCAGACCAGCGAGCCCCCAAGGACGUUUUCUCUGGGAAGAUACCCUGCAGCAUUUGAAGGGGCAGAGUCUGGGAUACAGCAAAGAACAGAGUCCUCCCUGGCUUGAAGUCUGGUGGGGGAGGGGCAGAGAACGAGACAGGCAGGGAAGCUCUUUGUCACAGUACACGUCGAGGUAGGUAGGACUGUGAUGGAUUUCAUUUUAGGAAAGAAGAAACCCAGAUCCAAGGAGAUCAGGUGACUUGUUUACAGUCGCACAGGUAGGAGGCAGCCGAACGAUAAACAAAUUCCCCAGACACCCCAGCCCCUGGGGCUUCUCCCUGUAAAGCUGCCUUCAGUCCUCCUGUCUAGAAAGAGGAGGAAGGGUGGUGGUGGGGAGGACUGAACACGGUCAUGAUGCAAGGUUUGGUCCUGCUGUUUCCAGCCUUCUCCAAAGCCGGAAACAGGCUGUGGCCGUGAAGGUUGUGAUGACACAGCUAAGACAUCAGUGCCUUUAUGGGACUGAGAAGAGAUGCCCGCUCUGCGUCAGUGCAGCCCUGUGCCAGCUUGGAUUUUAGCCUCAACUUGCCCUUUAGGUGGCGCACGUUUUUGCAGAGAAAAAUGUUCAUGUCCAUACUGCUGAUGGGAAUUCAACUCUCAGCUUCAGAAGGAGGCUUUCCAUCACGAAGACCUGCCAUUUACCUCUCUCCUCUUCCCUCUGCUCUUUGAAGCAACCUCCUCAAGGAAUUGUCUGCAAAUAGCACUCAGGCAACUCACCCCACUUCUGAUCUGGGACUUUGGACAGAACUGCAGCAGACCAUUCAAUCCAGGCAGGAAACGGAAACCAGCAGCAGUGGUUGGGAGAAAGGCCCUGAGAUGGACACUCGGGUGGGAUCCAGCACAGGCAUCACUCCUUCCGGUGUCUUCUACAGCUUCCUGGUGUCGUCUGCUGUCUUCUGGCCAAUCUUGGAGCACUCCCAACCCAUCUCUGAGCCAGGAGUCAUUAAGCUGCUCUGACUGGAUCCAUGGACAUGAAGCAGAAUACUAAUGUCCUACCUGCUUUUUUUUUUUUUUUUUUUUAAUUUCAACAACUCAACUUACUUUUUGGCUUUUUCUUUGCUGCAUUAAAAGUCAAUUUCUCUUAGGGACAGGAAGGUAAGCUUCUCUUGAAUAAAAUACAAACAUUCUUCCUACUAGCAACUUAGCUUUAGAAAGACCAAACCCAGGAGUUCCCAUGGUGGUGCAGUGCAAAUGAAUCCAACUAGUUAGUAUCCGUGAGGUUGCGGGUCUGAUCCCUGGUUUCGCUCAGCGGGUUAAGGAUCCGGCGUUGCUGUGAGCUGUGGUAUAGUUUGCAGAUAAGGCUCGGAUCCUGUGUUGCUGUGGCUGUGGCGUAGGCUGGCAGCUGUAGCUCUGAUUCGACCCCUAGCCUGGGAACUUCCAUAUGCUGUGGGUUCAGUCCUAAAAAAAAGCAAAAAAGAACCCAAACCAAAAACCUAAACCCUCCCUGCCAUAAAGCAAAAGGAAAACUACCCUUGUGUGUGCCUGUGAAUGUAUGUGUGUGAAUGUGUGCACGGGCACGCAUGCUAAUUAUUUAGGAUGACAUAACAAUUGCACUCAGCAGUCUUAUGGAAGAGAAGAAUAGAAUAAGACUGUUGAGUUGAGGACAAUGCAAGAAUGUUUUGCAAAAGAGAAGAGACCAGGAAAGAAGGAAAAAGGAGGGGGAUCUGGUGCCCCGAGUGGGCUGGGAUAAAACAGCCGAUCUGGGGUUCCAGCAACUGGGCAGAGGGGACCAUGAUGGGGGUGCUCUUUGAGUUCCUAGACUGUAGGCUGGAUGAGGAUCUUUGCCAGGGUACAAAGUACUGAAUAUUCAAUUCAUGGGAGGGGGGCACCUCACCUGCGCCUCAAAUUCUCAUCAGCCAAAAAUUCAGUUACUUACAAGUCUUUUCUCUACGACCACACAGAUGUUCCACGAAGCUGUCUCUGUGCAGGUGUCUCAGGUCAGCUGUAAUGUUGGAAAAGAGUCCUGAGCAGGCCUCAAGGAGCUGGGGAGAGGGUGAUGCAGCUGUGUGAAAGGGUUACGCUGAGCAAGCAAAAGUCCAGGGAGUUGAGUAUGUGAGGCUGGAUUUCUCUAACCGGCAGCCUCCUCCAAGGGCAAAUCCAAUUGUCAGGAUGUGAGGAGAGCUUGCAAUUUUGAAGAACACAGCUGCAGGUUAUUUUAUGAACUAAAGAGCCAAGUUUGCCCCAUGAUUUAUCUUAAAGAAAACCCUGUAGAAAUUCAAACCACCUUGGAAAGUGGAUUUUCCUAAGCCUGACUAGGAAGGCAGCCAGCCGCUCCUUAGCUCCUCCCCCAGAGGUGAAACAAUAGGCCCCCUUGGACAGGAGAGAGAAGUAUCUCCCAAGGAGCCCUCCCAUCUGCUCCACUCACAUUCAAGCUGGAACCCAUUUGUGAGGUUUGCAGGGACCAGACUUCCCAGAACUAAGACCCCUUGGAGGCUGUAUUUAGACAGGAUCUCAGAAGGGCUUUGGUCUGCCCUCACACCCGUUUAGCAGCAUCUGCAAGUGAUGGAGGAGGACGUGGACCACUGGGUCUCAUUUGACUUUGGUUCCUCGGCACCUAGACAUCAUUUGCCAAGUGGCAGGUGCUCAAUAAGUAUUGAUGGAAUGACGUACUGAAUGACCGAGGAAAGCGGUGCAUCGCUCUCAGUAACAAAGAUUGUCUCCAUCAUCAGCACUCUCACUGGCCUCCUCCGAACUCUCUUCUCAGCGAGGCUCUGAUUUGGGGUUUCUGUGUUCGGCUUUUCAUUGUCCAAUUGUAGAGUAAGUCUGCUAAGUCAGUUGAACCAGAAUCCUGCACCCUCAAGGCGCGAUCGCGUUCAUCCUCCACCAGUUCCUCCGGUGACGUCUGGUCACUCUGGCAUCACCCUCGCAGGCCUUCAGCAGGAAUCCUAUCAGGGUGGUUCAGCCAGACCCUCUCUUACCCCCUGAUAUUUCCAAUGAGUAAUUUUUGGUCCUCUGACUCCCUCCCUGCUCUUUGGCUCCAAAUGUCCACUAUUCCUCGUAUUUGGAGUUGAACCUCUUCUCUCUCCCCUGCUUUAAAACCCUGUUUCAGUCCCCGCUCCCUCGAAUAACAUCUGCCUUCCCAUCUUUGAUGAGCGCCAUGAAUAAUUUUUCUUUAGCAUCCGCAGCUGUUUGUACCCAGGCUGCUUACUAGCUCGGAAGGCAGUGUAUUGUUUUUCUAGAUCUUUCUGGUUACUAGGAAGUUGAUUAAGUAGCCAAAGAUGGAUUCCUUGCGAAUUUUCUACCUGUGUCCUGGUUCUGCUCUCUGAAGGCAGCAAAAAAGCCUCUUCCUUUAUAGUCUUACUACAGCUUUUGCCGUCCUCUCUCCGGUGCCCACGUUCUUCAGCAGCCAGGAACCUCAUGCUUUUCCCUGCUGAUCUGGAACAUAUCCAGAGAAGUGUCUAACUCACAGAAGCCUUGCCAGGGCAUUGCUCCGUGGUUUAGGUCUCUCCCCUCCUCGUGGCCCUGUUCGUGUUGAAUGAACCUGUCACGGGUACUCUCCUCUAUCAGCUAGCUGCUAUUGUAGAAAACUAGCCGAAGGAGAAGAUCUUAUCAGUGAUGUUUAUGUGCUUCUUUGCAUUUUCUUGUAACAAUGGCAGAUGUUUACAAUGAAAAUACUUUAAUAAUCAGGAAAAAAAACUCUCUAAAGCUAUUUCUAUCAUGGAAGGAAGAUACUGAUAAGCUAGCUUGUAAUGGAGUGUUGAAGAACACUAUUGGCCCAGAAAAGCAUCAUCAAAUAUCUACUGUUGGGGAAGGGAAACAUUUCUUCUCAUCUUCUAGGUUCAUUUGCUGGUCUAGUAAUUAAAUGGAGGUAAAUAUUAACAGGAGAAAAACGUUUAAUUACCUAUGGACGGGAGCCCCAGAUGAAUAUGAGACCCAUAGGAGGUCAGGCAGUUGAGGCUUAUGUGUCCUUCUGAGCUAAGGAGAGGGGGAGGAUACCUGAGGCCUCAACAGGGAGGAAGUCAAUUUAUAGGAAGGUGGGAUAGCAAAUGUUUGGUAAACAAAUGCUUGCCAUGCCUUACAGAGACAAUGGGACACUGAGAGGAAUUUGAUCGCCAGGACAGGCCCUACUUGGCUGUCCCAGUUUACGACUCCUGGCCCUUAUUCUUUGUAGUUGUCUGUGGUGAUAGCUCUCUUCCUGGACCAGGCCCUCUAUCUAAAUUCUUUUUAGGAAGUUAAGGGGAAAGGUAGAAACUCUUCCUGAGCCUUUUGAACCUGGCCUUCAGCUCAAAAUAAUCCACUUGCUAAAAUGGCACAUUUUGGGAAGGCGCAUUCUGAAAUCCUUCAGUCCUGCCUUUGAAACUGACCCAGGAAAUUUCAUAGUCUAGAAGUUGAGUUGGUAGAUUGCUCCAUUUUAUUGAACCCAUCUCUAAGUCUGAAAAUAGCCUAUUCAGUUAAACAUUUGUGUCUCAUUUUAGGAGGCAGUGCUGCAGGUUGGAUUCAAAAGUGAGGCCUGUGGUGUAAGCAGUCAGGCAGUCAGGUAUUUAAUAAGAGGCAUUGACAUGAAAACAAAAGAAAACAACAGCUAAUGGUUGGAGCAGACUAUAGUUCCAGUUUCACAGUUCUGAAGACAGCCAGUUGAGAAGACUGCCAGAUGUCCAGCUCAUGGUAUCUUCAGAUGGAGUGAGGGCAGCCAGUGUUAAUCUGAUAUACUUAGUAGUUUCCAGUUUGACUAUAUCUGGUGAUCAUUCUGCGUGUCCAUUAGAAAUAGGAACAAAGGUGGUCCAUACACGAGCUGCUGUGAUUUCUCCAAAGUUGGUAAAAAGUUGUCCAGCUUUAGCUUUGGAAAAGGGGCAGUUUGAGUUCUCAAGGAUUCCAGGUUAAAAAGGUGGGAGAAGGAGUUCCCGUCGUGGCGCAGUGGUUAACGAAUCCGACUAGGAACCAUGAGGUUGCGGGUUCAGUCCCUGCCCUUGCUCAGUGGGUUAACGAUCUGGCGUUGCCGUGAGCUGUGGUGUAGGUUGCAGCCGCGGCUCGGAUCCCGCAUGGCUGUGGCUCUGGCGUAGGCCGAUUGGAUCCCUAGCCUGGGAACCUCCAUAUGCCUCGGGAGCCGCCCAAGAAAUAGCGAACAGACAAAAAAAAAAGAAAAAAAAAAAAAAAGU
rnacentral:lncRNA from 1 species